GCCACCGUAGCUCAGUUGGUAGAGCAAUACUUUCGUAAAGUAGAGGUCGGCGGUUCAAGUCCGCCCGGUGGCU
rnacentral:tRNA from 1 species